GACGAACGCUGGCGGCGUGCUUAACACAUGCAAGUCGAACGGAAAGGCCCUGCUUGCAGGGUGCUCGAGUGGCGAACGGGUGAGUAACACGUGGGUGAUCUGCCCCUUACUUUGGGAUAAGCCUGGGAAACUGGGUCUAAUACUGGAUAGGACCAUGCUGUAGGUGGUGUGGUGGAAAGAUUAGUUUCGGUAAGGGAUGAGCUCGCGGCCUAUCAGCUUGUUGGUGGGGUAAUGGCCUACCAAGGCGUCGACGGGUAGCCGGCCCGAGAGGGUGGACGGCCACUCUGGGCCUGAGCGACGGCCCAGACUCCUGCGGGAGGCAGCAGGGGGGAAUAUUUCACAAUGGGCGCCAGCCUGAUGCAGCGACGCCUCGUGGGGGAUGACGGCCUUCGGGUUGUAAACUCCUUUCAGCCAUGACGAAGCCUUCGGGUGACGGUAGUGGUAGAAGAAGCACCGGCUAACUACGUG
rnacentral:rRNA from 1 species